rnacentral:lncRNA from 1 species
AAAAAAAUCGUAAAUGGAAUUCAAAGCAUUAAAGUACACAUUACCAUUCACACGAUUUGUAUUAAUUUGAUUAAGUAUUUUAAUAGUAUAAAUUUUUAUUUCAUUCUAUUGGUGUUGAAGAAUAUUUAAGAUUAAUUAAGGAUUUCUCAAAGAAGAAGGGUCAAUUUAUGUUUCAUUAUAUUAAGGGAAAAAGACCAUUCGCACAAAAUAGAAAAAGUCAAACCUCAUUUCAAUGAUAAUCUUUUUUAUUAACCUAUUUGAAUAAAAAGUACUUAUUUUAAGCCCAAAUACACAAAUCUUUAUUAAAAUAUAAUAAAAUUAUAUUUUUAAAGAUUUUUUUAUCCUUAGCUUUUACUUAAAGAGAAAAAGUGAAAAAGAUGGAGGGAAGACUUUGCCGGAAGCACACCGGGCUCCGGUGCCAGUCACCGACGGCCGCAUUCCGGUAGCCGGACUCCGAACUCCGGCCGCCGGUGACCGGAAUUUUCCGACGGCCGGAAAAUUGCCGGCAUCCGGUGGCCGAAAUUUUCUAUAAAUCUCAUUGGAUUUUUUUAAAUGCCAUCGGAAUUUAUGUGAUCUUAACCCAAGUACGAAAAAUAAAGUUUACUACCUCUAGUAAACUUUUACUAGGGGUAGUAAACUCAAAAUAAAGUUUCUCCAUAACCAUUAUACACCUUAAAACAGUGAAAAAUCAACUUAGAUGCAGAAAAAUAAAGUUUACUACCCCUAGUAAACUUCUGCUGGGGGUAGUAAACUUGCAAUAUAGUUUUCCUAUGACCAUUAUAUACCUUAAAGGAGAGAAAAAACCAACAUAUAUGCAAAAAAUAAAAGUUUACCACCCCUAGUAAACAUCUUACUGGGGGUAGUAAUCUUGCAAAAUAAUAUCUCCAAGGCUAUAAGUACACAUUAAAACGGAGAAAAAUCAACUUAGAUGCGAAAAAAAUAAAAUUUACUACCCCUAGUAAACUUUUACUGGGGCUAGGGGUAGUAAACUUGCAAAACAAUAUUUUUAAGACCAUAAUACACACUAAAACAGAGGAAGAACAAUUUAGAUUCGAAAAACUAAAGUUUACUACCCCCAGUAAACUUUUAUUAGGGGUAGUAAACUUGCAAAACAAUAUUUUCAAGGCCAUAAUACAGACUAAAACAGAGGAAGAACAACUUAGAUGCAAAAAAAAAGUUUACUACCCCCAUUAAACUUUUACUGGGGGUAGUAAACUUGCAAUCUAUUAUCUCCAAAGAAAAAUCAACACACAAGCAAAUAAUAGAAAAUUACUACCCCUAGUAAUUUUUAUAUUUUGGGUGCAGAACACAAAAAUAAGAUGCUAUGAAUUAUUACUACCGUCAGUAAGAAUCUUAAUUAUUCCAUAUACAUCAACGCCAAAACGUAUCUAACAGUUCUAUCUAACCAAAAUUGAUUUCAUAAUUAUCAAACAUCAAUGAGAGACUAAUGAAGGUACAUAAACCUUUUGUUAACUAGAAACCUUUUGUCACCUAAUUACCGCUUAUUGCAAAAAUUAUAGAAAAGGCAAAGAAAAAAAAGACCGUGGACGAUCAGUGACAUCAUGGUUGAAGAAGAUGAGGACGUCAUCGGCGAGAGGAGCAAUGUGGAUGUAGAAGAGGUCGACGUGGUAGCGGAGAUCGGCGUGGAAGUGGAGGUCCGAGAUUGGAGAUCAGAGGUCAGAGAUCGGAGAUCGGAUCUUCGCCUCGUGNNNNNNNNNNNNNNNNNNNNGAGAGAGAGAGAGAUCCGGAAUGAGAGGGGAGGAGAGGAGAGAGAUAGAUAGGUUAUGGGUAGAAAAGUAAUUCUAUUAAGUUUAAUUGAAAUGGGCAUAGGAAAAAUUUUUUCUUUGGGGUGGGCAACAAGACCCAAUAAUUAGUAUCAAAUAGGCAUUAUGUCUUAUACUAAUAUCCAAUGUUCAUUAAUUAAGGCUAAUUAAGCUUUUUCAAAAUUUGAGAGGGUUCAAACAUUAGAGUAAACUAAAUCGAGAAAUUUUGAAAACUAACCAAUUUUUGGUCAUCAAGAUGGUUUUUAACCUUUUUUUUUAUUUUAGUUGAAAACUAACCAUUUUACAAGAUAAAAUGACUAUUAUGUCAUCUUAUUAAUUUAGUUGCAAGGGAAAAUUUCAUAUUCCAUGAACAGAUUUAAUAUAUUCCACCUGCAAAAGACUUUAG